GCGCCCCCGGCGCCCACAGGUGCGGCGACCCCGGCUCCCCCGGUUCCCCGAGUGCCUCCCCGGCCGCCGGCCGCCUGAGCCCCGCGAGCAGUAGGAGGGAGAGUCUGGGGCCGGGAGAGGGAUGGCGGAGGAUCAGGGAAAGGGGUGUAGAUGGCACAAUGGCACCUGUUUCUGGUUCCUUCUACACUCCUCUAAAUGUGUUCCGGUUUGUGUCUUUUCACAGUACUCCAAGGGUGCUGCGGCCACUGCAGCAUGGAGGAGUCUCUCGCCCACCUCAGCCUGCGGGUCCUCCAAAUGACACUUGACUGCCCUGGCUUCCCAGACGACUUCUUCGGAUCCCUUGUGCCUCACCUUCAUCCAUCAAUUAAGAUUUGAUAUUUGGCACAUUUGGAGGUCUCUGUGACCCUCUUCCCACAAAUCCCCCAGCACAGCUGCCAUCACCUAUUCU